rnacentral:rRNA from 1 species
CCUACGGGAGACUGCAGUGAGGAAUAUUGGUCAAUGGCCGGAAGGCUGAACCAGCCAUGCCGCGUGAAGGUCAGUGCCCUAUGGGCGUUAAACUUCUUUUGUGCGGGAGCAAUAAUGGUCACGUGUGGCCAGACGAGAGUACCGUACGAAUAAGCAUCGGCUAACUCCGUGCCAGCAGCCGCGGUAAUACGGGGGAUGCAAGCGUUAUCCGGAUUUAAUGGGUUUAAAGGGUGCGUAGGGUGGGAGGUAAGUCAGCGGUGAAAUGCCCCCGCUCAACGGGGUGAAGUGCCAUUGAUACUGCCUUGCUGGAAUGCGGAUGCGGUGGGAGGAAUGUGUGGUGUAGCGGUGAAAUGCAUAGAUAUCACACAGAACACCGAGUGCGAAGGCAUCUCACGAAUCCGCGAUUGACGCUGAUGCACGAAAGCGUGGGUAUCAAACAGGAUUAGAUACCCCUGUAGUC